GAUGAACGCUGGCGGCGUGCUUAACACAUGCAAGUCGAACGGAAAGGCUCCUGCUUGCUGGGGUACUCGAGUGGCGAACGGGUGAGUAACACGUGGGUGAUCUGCCCUGCACUUCGGGAUAAGCCUGGGAAACUGGGGCUAAUACCGGAUAGGACGAUGGGUUGGAUGCCAUUGUGGAGAGAUUUUCGGUGGGGGAUGAGCUCGCGGCCUAUCAGCUUGUUGGUGGGGUAGUGGCUUACCAAGGCGUCGACGGGUAGCCGGCCUGAGAGGGUGUACGGCCACAUUGGGACUGAGAUACGGCCCAGACUCCUACGGGAGGCAGCAGUGGGGAAUAUUGCACAAUGGGCGGAAGCCUGAUGCAGCAACGCCGCGUGCGGGAUGACGGCCUUCGGGUUGUAAACCGCUUUCGCCUGUGACGAAGCGUGAGUGACGGUAACGGGUAAAGAAGCACCGGCUAACUACGUG
rnacentral:rRNA from 1 species